UACGGAGGGUGCAAGCGUUAUCCGGAUUCACUGGGUUUAAAGGGUGCGUAGGCGGGUAAGUAAGUCCGUGGUGAAAUCUCUGAGCUUAACUCAGAAACUGCCGUGGAUACUAUUUGCCUUGAAUAUUGUGGAGGUGAGCGGAAUAUGUCAUGUAGCGGUGAAAUGCUUAGAUAUGACAUAGAACACCAAUUGCGAAGGCAGCUCACUACACGAUCAUUGACGCUGAGGCACGAAAGCGUGGGGAUCAAACAGG
rnacentral:rRNA from 1 species